GACGAACGCUGGCGGCGUGCCUAAUACAUGCAAGUUGAGCGCUGAAGGUUGGUACUUGUACCAACUGGAUGAGCAGCGAACGGGUGAGUAACGCGUGGGUAAUCUGCCUUUGAGCGGGGGACAACAUUUGGAAACGAAUGCUAAUACCGCAUAAAAACUUUAAACACAAGUUUUAAGUUUGAAAGAUGCAAUUGCAUCACUCAAAGAUGAUCCCGCGUUGUAUUAGCUAGUUGGUGAGGUAAAGGCUCACCAAGGCGAUGAUACAUAGCCGACCUGAGAGGGGGAUCGGCCACAUUGGGACUGAGACAAGGCCCAAACUCCUACGGGAGGCAGCAGUAAGGAAUCUUCGGGCAUGGACGAAAGUCUGACCGAGCAACGCCGCGUGAGUGAAGAAGGUUUUCGGAUCGUAAAAAUCUGUUGGUAGAGAAGAACGUUGGUGAGAGUGGAAAGCUCAUCAAGUGACGGUAACUACCCAGAAAGGGACGGCUAACUACGUG
rnacentral:rRNA from 1 species